UCAAUUUUAUUUUUUUAUCGUACUUCCAAUUGGUUGUGUUGUGAUUGUGUUCGAAUCUCAGUUCUUGGGUGCUUCCGUUUUUUAAACUCAAUAGGUACAAAUGACAAAGCGUGGAUCCUUUGGAAAAGUGUGAUUUGUGUGAUCUUUUGGGUUCUUAGCUUUAGAGGAAUGCUAGAAUUUUGAAGAAAAUAUGGAAGAUGUGGAGAGCAUUUGGUAUAAGAUUGGUUGUUUAGAUUCCUUUUGGAUGUCCAGUGUCCCUUCUAUCAAACUGACACGGUUAUUUUUUAUUUUUAGAAUUGGAGAGAGAUUUUUAGAGUGUGAGAGUUAUCAUAUUUUUCUUUCUUUUGUGUUAGUGGUGGACUUCUUGCAUGUCCUCCUUUAUUUUUGUGUCUUUCUAUUUCCUUAUUAAUAAUAUUUCUCCUUCCUGUCAUUGAACAGAAAUUUCCAAUAAAAAAAAUAACAAUUCCUAUGCAUCUUUCCUUGAAUGAUGAGUGACAAACUCUACCUAUAUAGGCAACUUGUCUGGUGAAUAAGUUGUCCAAGCCAUUAAUUGUGUGCCCCCCAUUAGGUGGUUUGUGUUGCCCUUGUGGAUACCUCCCUGUAAUUGUAAUUGUUAUUACUUAAACCCCUUCUGUUUUGAUUAUUUCGUACAAUUCAUUGUCGCAAGUGUUUGUUAAUCCCUGUCCUGUUGGUAUCCGUUUUUUUGAGUAUUGGUCGUGCUCCCAGUAAGCUUCCACAGUCUUUGAAUCAAGCGCACUUCCCUGGGCUUCAUUUGAUGCGGGUAGGGAUCUUAUUGACAGUAUAACAAAGAGAGAUUUCAUUGGGCAAAUGAUUUGGUUCUUUGUUGUUCGACUGGUGAUGAUAACUGGUAACAGGUAAUCUUGUAAGCAUUUUUGUUAAUGUCAACAUAUAUUUGUAUCUGGGAUAAAUUUUCAACUACUCAAACUAGUUACUCAAGAAGAAGAGAUGAUUCAACCCGAGAUAACCAUAUCACCACAUUAUCCAUGAGACGACCAUAUCAUCAAAAUCUAAGAUGGUCAUAUCGCCUGUGGUCACCACUCAGAUCACAAGUCGCCAAUACCUAAUGUUCGGUAGUUCAUGUCGCCAACCUCUCCAGACCUAGGUGAACGUGAUCUCCAUUUAGUCCAUCUCCACCAUAGUCUCCUAUAGUUGCGGCAUGACCUCCCCACGGCAAUUUUCACCCAUUAUGCCUCUAUCUCCAGCAACAACUUCCUUCUGCGGUUGCCUGAUGAUUACGCCGCAAUCUCCUCACACAUCUGUGAAAUCUCCAUCUAUAAAAACUGCUCAUCAUACUCAAAAAAAUGUAAAUAAAAUCGCGAUUCUUAAGUCAUUGCUCUCUGAUUUCUCUGUUAUGCUUUAUCUAGAAUAUUUCUCCUACGAUCCCAUCGCCACGUCGGAGGGAUUUUGAGCGGCCUCACCUGGACCGAUAACAUUUGUCUCUCUACGCAAUUGAUUGAGAUCGCUACCUUUAACAAUUUUGACAAUUGAUUGCUCACCUUAGAUUUUUACCUCAACAGUAUCCAGAUGCCAGUAAGUUCUUGGAACUUGUACGAUAGUUUGUUAAAACCAAUUAGUUGAUAGUUUGUUAAAACCAAUUAGUAUGUUCUUCGAUUAUUUUCUCUCUAAAGUUGGGAGGAAUUCCAGGGACUCCAUUUAUCAGAUUAGCGGGACAUAUAUUUUAGCCUUUGACAAAUUUCACU
rnacentral:lncRNA from 1 species